rnacentral:rRNA from 1 species
UACGAAGGGGGCGAGCGUUGUUCGGAUUUACUGGGCGUAAAGGGCGCGCAGGCGGCCAUUCAAGUCAGGCGUGAAAGCCCCGGGCUUAACCUGGGAGGUGCGCUUGGGACUGGAUGGCUAGAGAUCGGGAGAGGAGAGUGGAAUUCCCAGUGUAGAGGUGAAAUUCGUAGAUAUCAGGAGGAACACCAGUGGCGAAGGCGGCCUGCUGGGACAUGGCUGACGCUGAGGCGCGACAGCGUGGGGAGCAAACAGG